CACACACGUUUCUUCCUACCUCAGCAAGAAAGUUUGAGGUCCCCACAGUUUCUGCGCACAUCAGGGCGACAAACGUGGACACUGUCUGGUUCACCUUUCAACUCCAAGGCCUACUCUGGGACUUCCAGGGUAGGUGUCAAAAUCGUAUUUUAAGACAAAUGCUUAAUGGCUCCAUUUCAGACAUUCCACAAUUCUCCCUCACACCCUAGGCAAGCUUAGUACAGAAAAGUCUCCGCGGAGAAGUGGAAAGGUGACAGGUUUAGGUUAUCUGUGAAUGUUUAACUGAAGGACUGUGGAUUCAUAACUCCUUUGUAUUUUUUUUUUUAAGACGGGGUUUCACCAUGUUGGUCAGGCUGGUCUUGAACUCACAACCUCCGGUGAUCCGCCCACCUUGGUCUCCAAAGUGCUUGGAUUACCAUGCCCGGCCGAUUCAUGACUCCAUUGGCUUCACACAGAGUUUUGAAGACACCUUGCUGUCCUUUGUCUGCCUUUCUGGCUAAACAGAAGUCACCUGCGAGCGGAAUACAUCAGACCAGGAAAUUGAAUCCAGAGCCUCAGGCCAGCAAGGACAUGAGGAUGACUGAUGAGUAUGCACCACGAACGUCAAGAGCAUGAGGAAAACACUGCAGACCCAUUGAAGCUUGCAGGGGACUACCUGCUCCCCGCGCCAAUCCUAAAUGUCAUCAGAGCUGUCUAGUGGGAUGGGGCAGGGCUCCAGGGCCCUCACACCUAGAUAUUCUGACGGCCCACCAGUGCCCUCUAGGAAGGCAAUGUUGGAUCUAACUCUGAAGUCUGGAGAUCUCUAGACAAAGGAGAUGGUUAUCUUUUGAAAUGUGACAUACCAGAACACAGGGUUGAAGAGCCCAUGGCACUGUCUUAAUUUCCUAUCAUUCCUCAAAUGUUUUCAGUUGAGCAAAACGCAUUUUAUAAAGCCACUUCUCCUCCAAAAAUGUUAAACCCAGAUUUCAAAAUAAGAGAAAUAAUCUCCUUAUGAACCUGAUUCAUACUUUUAUGGGAAGCUUGGCAAACAGAAAAUUGGUGGUUCCUCUGUCUCAGAUUGCGUAGCCAAAAAAGG
rnacentral:lncRNA from 1 species